GGAUCGAUGAUGACACCACAAACGCAUUCCUUGGAAAAUCUGAACAAAAUGAGUGAGAACUCACUACCGUCUCCUCAUCGCAAACUGAGGUCC
ensembl:snoRNA SNORD116 Small nucleolar RNA SNORD116